UCCCUGUUAGUUCAGUUGGUGCUUCUUUAUUGGGAAGAUUAGCGGCCCGUUAAUCCGUAUGUCACUGGUUCAAGUCCAGUAGAGGGAGCCA
rnacentral:tRNA from 1 species